CAAAACAAAACAAAGCCAAGCUCUGUACCCAUGCCGGUGCCUCGGGUAGAUAACAACCCUUUAUGGUGGCGGGGGAUGGGGAUGGGGACAGGAGGAGGAAGUGCCUCUCUGUGGAAGAGCCUCUUUCCCCAGAGUUCUUGCCCAGAGUUGAGGGUAUGGGUGGAUGGGAGGCAGGCACAGUUCGGCCUGGCUCCCUAUGGUGGUGAACAUCUCUGGCUAUGUCUUCAAGAAAUUUUCUGGACUAGGUUAGCUGAGGUGGGAAACCCCGCCCUGAACGAACAUGGCACCCUCCCAUGGACGGGAUCUGGAACGCAUGAAAAGGGGAAAGUGGACUGCGCACCAGCGAUCGUGUCUCUCUGCUUCCUGACUGGGUGCAGUGUGACCAGCUGCCUCACCGGCUGUGACUCCUCACCAUCCCAGACUGCACCUCAGACUGUGAGCCCAAGUAAGCCCUUCCUGCCUUAAGUCUUCUUUGUCAGGCAACUUGCCACAGCAAGAAAAUAACAUGCUCCCUUUUGUUCCUGCCACCGCUCUUGAUGCUGAUGGACAGACAGACGGACAGAUACUCCCACUGUCCCUCUGGAGAGGCGUCGGGCAUGCUGGGCCUUCCUUUUCCAGCCUUUGAGAUCAGUCUGCCCUCUCCACAGGGCCAAUAGUUUCCUUAGGAGUCUAUGAAAAUAUUUUCAUUUCAAGUCAGAAGAAAAACUUUUUGUUUGUUUUGUUUGGUUUUUGAAUGCCCUGUGUGUUGUGAGUGCAGCCUGGGUGACAGGGCUUCCUACCAGGGAAACAUACUCCCGGACAUUGGCUGACAGGAGGAGAGGCCCUGGGAGGAAAAGGUACCUGGGCCUGAGGUCAGAUUACCUCCCACUUACAAAGUUAGGGCCUGCAAGACAUCAGUCAACUUGACUCCAUCGGAUGUCAGGGCUGGUUCCACAGGGCGGGCCAUCUCAGGCUUAGACAGGGCAGAACCACGAGCACGGCACACCUCCCAGUUUGGUGAGUCCCACACUCCACGGGGGCUGCCACCAGCAAUUCACAGGAGGCCAGCCUGAGGGAGACAAGAGAGGCAGAGCCAGAAGCCUUUUCCUGGCCACCGUCUUCCUCUGUCAGCUUCCCCAGGCUCUAGACCUGGUGCUCACCCCAAUAAAUGGUCUGCCCCCCUCAUUCCCAGAGGCUACAGAGCUGAGGAGCUACAGGGCGAUGUCUUAGCUCCAUUCUCCGCGGUCAUUUCAUGUCCUCUCCUGAAGAGAAAGAAAAUAUAGCAUAGACCCUUAUCGGUGCCUAGCGGGUUGGAGACUGGAAGAGCUGAUGUUCCAGUCCAAAACCAGGCCUGGGUUCUAGCUGGGAGGCAGUUGGGAGACUCGCUUUCCAAGAUGGUGGGAGUGGCAUGCCCUUGAGCCUUUUAAUCUUAGUUGUAUCUCGGCCUGAGGGGAUGGGAGGUCAUCUGCCAUACACAAUGUAUCAAACAAGGUUAAUCCUCCCUCUUUUGCAGAGGCACUUGGUGACAGUGGUGAUACUGACAGAUCUAUGACAACAAACUUAAAGGACACUUCGUUCUGGCUCACAGUUUUGGAGGCCCUGGGCCAGAGCUGAUUGGCUCCAUUCCUUUUAUGGCACACUGACCUGGCCAAAGCGAACAGGGACAAACCGCCACCCUUGUUACAAGAGUCCAUGAGGGUUUCGUGACUACUGGCUUGACCAAGAGAUGGCUGUUUUGGGCGUUCUAAGGUAACUUACUGCCUAGUUUCAUGGCAGAGGGAUGGACACUGGAACUAUUACUGUGGAAAGCAAUACAGCAAGCACUGUCAUUUUACCGUUUUGGAGCAUAGGACUCAACACUCCAGUGGUUUUACCCUUGCUGUAUUUAUGUGGGGACAGCAUUGCCGUCUUCCCAGAAUGCCUCCAAGUCCUUGGUUUUCAGUUUUUAAAUGACAUGUAUUUAAGGUACCUGUGUAUAUGCUGUGGGUGUACAUGGCAUACUAUGGGCAUGGAGGUCAGAGGAGCCCAAGGUCCUCACAGUGGAGCACUGGUCCUUAGGCUUGGCGGUGAGCACCCACCCACUGAGCCAUCCUGUCAAAGCCUUCAUUUUUCAGGCAGAACUGGGUCCAGUUGGUUUGUUUCAUGACAUUGAUAAAAACUCCCCUGGUGCUUGAGAACUGCAGGUACCCCAAGGUUUAGGUUUGGUUAGAUUUCGAAUCAAAGAAAAAAUGGGGCUGGGUAUGGUGGCACACACCUGUAAUACCAGCACUUGGGAGGCAGUGGCAGGAUAGUGAGUUUCAAGCCAGACCAGCCUUCGGAGUAUGUUCUAGGAUAGCCUGGGCUACGUGCCAAAACUCUGUCAAAGAAAAACAUGGUGUCGUUCAGGAUGAACACACGUUAGCAACCUGGCCUAGUUAGGGCAUGCCACUCCAGGGGGGUCAGGUCUCAACAGUCCAGACAGCACUUUGGGUUGGAUGUUCGUAAGCCUUGUGUGUUCUUAGGCUAUCUCUCAUCUCCACAGAAUGUGACCCUGGAGCCGAGGCGAGGAAAGGCAGGUUUGCCUUGACCGACCGCCCUUAAGUCUUUCCUCAGGUUGCAAGCUCAGCAGAAGUCUGGUGGGUCAAGCCACUUUCCAUCUUGCCUGCAAAUCAUCGGCCAGCAGGGUUCACAUGCCGGGUAAUGAACACGCGGGGAGUCUCUUGCUUUCUGUCUGAUCGGACACCCCAGCUGUGCCCUCUAAGGACAGAUCAAGGACUCAGCUAGAAUAGAGAUCGCUCUUCCCUUUGAAGAGGUUCUGUCUUUGCACCCUGCAAGGACCAUGACGACCUUCCUCCCUGACCUGUGCCCUACUGUCCUGGGCUCUGCUGCCUCUGCAGACCCCAGAAACAGGAGAGCCAGGAUGAGGUCACUCUGGCCACCUAUUGUCCUGAGUUACCUGCUCGGAGAAAUCUAUUUUACUCUUAAGCAACACAAUAACACCAGGAGCGAGGUUGUGAGACAGGGUUUUGGCAUGUAGCCCAGGCUAUCCUAGAACCCACUCUGCAGUACAUGUCUGAUGUGCUGAACUGCACAGCAGGCCUUGGAGAGGCACAGAGACUACCCACCAUCCACUCAGCAGCGUGGCCCCCCUUGCCUUUGGGCACCAGCAGCUUCUUUUCAAUCUCUGUUCUUCCUAGAGGCCUUCCCAAGAAGAAAAGGACACUCUUCUUAAACAGUUCACAUUUAUUAUUGUAACAAUAAAAAAAUCUUUUAAAGACUAUCAGUAUUGUAUUACCAAGAGUGAGGUAAUAUGUUUACAAAACAUUUACAGAAUUUGAUAUGCAAAUAAUGGUUCAGGGAGGAGUGAGUUAAGACACUAGAAACAGGAGAGCCCAGAGAGUGCAGGGAGCAGCAUGUUAGGGGAGUGCUGGGCACUGGACAAGCAGCUCUGUGAGCCACACAGUCACCUCACAGCCAGCCUCCCUCACAAGGCAGCCAGUGCCCUGUGGCCUGGGGAAGCUCAAGGCCUGUGAAUGUGUAGUUGUGUGCUUUGAGCUCUUAAAGAUGCUAUCAGCUCUGAGGGGGCUGAACAGAGACACUUCUGAAUGGACUUAAAGGGAGCAGCUCUUCAGCCUGGGGCAUGGCUGCGACUCAGAUAGGUCUACAAACAUCCCUGGGCACAUGUGGGCUGUCGAGUGAAGCGCUUUCUUGGAGGUUGUCAGCAAAAUCGCCAUCUGGGACAUGGAGAAAGGGAGAGGGAAAAGGAGAGAGAAGAGAGAAAGAGCAGGGGCAUCUUCAGGUCCUUUCGCUUGGAGCUGGGGAGCCCUGACUGAAGCAGUGUGGACGCGGCAGCCACAGCCCCGCUGUGCGUGUACAAGCAGCCCCCACACACACGAAAUGCACAGCAGUGGACCCAGAACGGCCAGCAAGCAUAGCUCAGGGUGCCAGGAGCCAGAGGGCUCACUGGCCAAGCAGGCUGCUGCCGUCUCCCCUCAUGCUUGCGACAUGCCACACCCUCUACAGAGCUCUCAAAUCACACCGCCAGUCAGCCAGCGCCUCAGAGCAGCAUCCACAUCGGAGUCCACUCCCCUCACCCCUCACACACUCACAGCCAUACUGAUUUGGCACACAUCUUUAGACAUUGUUACCACACAAACAGAUUCUGCGCCCUUUUCUGGAGAUCAGCCACCUGCAACUUCUAGACAGCUCGGUAAGAAGCAUGCUUUCCCAUAAAAGCUGUGAACUGAGGAGCUGCUCUAACAGCAGGCUUUGAGAAGUCAGGAUCAGAAAAAAAAAGAGAGACGAACCCAAGCCUCUGAUCCACUUCUCUGAAAUGCAGACAGAACAAGUGCAGCCCUACGGCCCCUCCCCAGCAGCACCCCACUCCCUCAUGCACACACACA
rnacentral:sRNA from 1 species